rnacentral:rRNA from 1 species
GACGAACGCUGGCGGCGUGCUUAACACAUGCAAGUCGAACGGAAAGGCCCCCUUGUGGGGUACUCGAGUGGCGAACGGGUGAGUAACACGUGAGUAACCUACCCUUGACUUUGGGAUAACUUCAGGAAACUGGGGCUAAUACCGGAUAGGAGCUCCUGCUGCAUGGUGGGGGUUGGAAAGUUUCGGCGGUUGGGGAUGGACUCGCGGCUUAUCAGCUUGUUGGUGGGGCAGUGGCUCACCAAGGCUUUGACUGGUAGCCGGCCUGAGAGGGUGACCGGCCACAUUGGGACUGAGAUACGGCCCAGACUCCUACGGGAGGCAGCAGUGGGGAAUAUUGCACAAUGGGCGGAAGCCUGAUGCAGCAACGCCGCGUGCGGGAUGACGGCCUUCGGGUUGUAAACCGCUUUCGCCUGUGGCGAAGCGUGAGUGACGGUAAUGGGUAAAGAAGCACCGGCUAACUACGUG